UUAAGCGACUAAGCGUACACGGUGGAUGCCCUGGCAGUCAGAGGCGAUGAAGGACGUGCUAAUCUGCGAAAAGCGUCGGUAAGGUGAUAUGAACCGUUAUAGCCGGCGAUGUCCGAAUGGGGAAACCCAGUGCAAUUCGUUGCACUAUCGUUAACUGAAUACAUAGGUUAACGAGGCGAACCGGGGGAACUGAAACAUCUAAGUACCCCGAGGAAAAGAAAUCAACCGAGAUUCCCCCAGUAGCGGCGAGCGAACGGGGAGCAGCCCAGAGUCUGAAUCAGCUUGUGUGUUAGUGGAACGGUCUGGAAAGUCCGACGGUACAGGGUGAUAGUCCCGUACACCAAAAUGCACAGGCUGUGAACUCGAAGAGUAGGGCGGGACACGUGGUAUCCUGUCUGAAUAUGGGGGGACCAUCCUCCAAGGCUAAAUACUCCUGACUGACCGAUAGUGAACCAGUACCGUGAGGGAAAGGCGAAAAGAACCCCGGCGAGGGGAGUGAAAAAGAACCUGAAACCGUGUACGUACAAGCAGUGGGAGCACCUUGGUGUGACUGCGUACCUUUUGUAUAAUGGGUCAGCGACUUAUAUUCUGUAGCAAGGUUAACCGUAUAGGGGAGCCGCAGGGAAACCGAGUCUUAACUGGGCGUUAAGUUGCAGGGUAUAGACCCGAAACCCGGUGAUCUAGCCAUGGGCAGGUUGAAGGUUGGGUAACACUAACUGGAGGACCGAACCGACUAAUGUUGAAAAAUUAGCGGAUGACUUGUGGCUGGGGGUGAAAGGCCAAUCAAACCGGGAGAUAGCUGGUUCUCCCCGAAAGCUAUUUAGGUAGCGCCUCGUGAAUUCAUCUUCGGGGGUAGAGCACUGUUUCGGCUAGGGGGUCAUCCCGACUUACCAACCCGAUGCAAACUACGAAUACCGAAGAAUGUUAUCACGGGAGACACACGGCGGGUGCUAACGUCCGUCGUGAAGAGGGAAACAACCCAGACCGCCAGCUAAGGUCCCAAAGUCAUGGUUAAGUGGGAAACGAUGUGGGAAGGCACAGACAGCCAGGAUGUUGGCUUAGAAGCAGCCAUCAUUUAAAGAAAGCGUAAUAGCUCACUGGUCGAGUCGGCCUGCGCGGAAGAUGUAACGGGGCUAAACCAUGCACCGAAGCUGCGGCAGCGACACUAUGUGUUGUUGGGUAGGGGAGCGUUCUGUAAGCCUGCGAAGGUGACCUGUGAGGGUUGCUGGAGGUAUCAGAAGUGCGAAUGCUGACAUAAGUAACGAUAAAGCGGGUGAAAAGCCCGCUCGCCGGAAGACCAAGGGUUCCUGUCCAACGUUAAUCGGGGCAGGGUGAGUCGACCCCUAAGGCGAGGCCGAAAGGCGUAGUCGAUGGGAAACAGGUUAAUAUUCCUGUACUUGGUGUUACUGCGAAGGGGGGACGGAGAAGGCUAUGUUAGCCGGGCGACGGUUGUCCCGGUUUAAGCAUGUAGGCUGGUUAUCCAGGCAAAUCCGGAUAAUCAAGGCUGAGGUGUGAUGACGAGGCACUACGGUGCUGAAGUAACAAAUGCCCUGCUUCCAGGAAAAGCCUCUAAGCAUCAGGUAACAUCAAAUCGUACCCCAAACCGACACAGGUGGUCAGGUAGAGAAUACCAAGGCGCUUGAGAGAACUCGGGUGAAGGAACUAGGCAAAAUGGUGCCGUAACUUCGGGAGAAGGCACGCUGGUGUGUAGGUGAAGUCCCUGCGGAUGGAGCUGAGACCAGUCGAAGAUACCAGCUGGCUGCAACUGUUUAUUAAAAACACAGCACUGUGCAAACACGAAAGUGGACGUAUACGGUGUGACGCCUGCCCGGUGCCGGAAGGUUAAUUGAUGGGGUUAUCCGUAAGGAGAAGCUCUUGAUCGAAGCCCCGGUAAACGGCGGCCGUAACUAUAACGGUCCUAAGGUAGCGAAAUUCCUUGUCGGGUAAGUUCCGACCUGCACGAAUGGCGUAAUGAUGGCCAGGCUGUCUCCACCCGAGACUCAGUGAAAUUGAACUCGCUGUGAAGAUGCAGUGUACCCGCGGCAAGACGGAAAGACCCCGUGAACCUUUACUAUAGCUUGACACUGAACAUUGAGCCUUGAUGUGUAGGAUAGGUGGGAGGCUUUGAAGCGUGGACGCCAGUCUGCGUGGAGCCAACCUUGAAAUACCACCCUUUAAUGUUUGAUGUUCUAACGUUGGCCCCUUACCGGGGUUGCGGACAGUGUCUGGUGGGUAGUUUGACUGGGGCGGUCUCCUCCCAAAGCGUAACGGAGGAGCACGAAGGUUAGCUAAUCCUGGUCGGACAUCAGGAGGUUAGUGCAAUGGCAUAAGCUAGCUUGACUGCGAGCGUGACGGCGCGAGCAGGUGCGAAAGCAGGUCAUAGUGAUCCGGUGGUUCUGAAUGGAAGGGCCAUCGCUCAACGGAUAAAAGGUACUCCGGGGAUAACAGGCUGAUACCGCCCAAGAGUUCAUAUCGACGGCGGUGUUUGGCACCUCGAUGUCGGCUCAUCACAUCCUGGGGCUGAAGUAGGUCCCAAGGGUAUGGCUGUUCGCCAUUUAAAGUGGUACGCGAGCUGGGUUUAGAACGUCGUGAGACAGUUCGGUCCCUAUCUGCCGUGGGCGCUGGAGAAUUGAGGGGGGCUGCUCCUAGUACGAGAGGACCGGAGUGGACGCAUCACUGGUGUUCGGGUUGUCAUGCCAAUGGCACUGCCCGGUAGCUAAAUGCGGAAGAGAUAAGUGCUGAAAGCAUCUAAGCACGAAACUUGCCCCGAGAUGAGUUCUCCCUGAGACUUUAAGUCUCCUGAAGGAACGUUAAAGACGAUGACGUUGAUAGGCCGGGUGUGUAAGCGCAGCGAUGCGUUGAGCUAACCGGUACUAAUGAACCGUGAGGCUUAACCU
rnacentral:rRNA from 1 species